rnacentral:hammerhead_ribozyme from 1 species
GUACUUCUGAAGAGUCCCACAAUAGGACAAAACGGCCGUCCAGUGC